UCUAAAAUAACAGAGGGAAGAAGCACUACUAAAAAUUCGGGAUUUUAGCGGCGGCUUGUGCAACCGACACAAAUUUUCUAUCGAAGAACCCCAAUGCUCUCUUCCCAUCGUUUGCACGACCUCACCACGUUCCCAUCCUCUCCUCUGGCGUGACCCUCCCUUCCGUCGACCUCGCUCACCUCUUGGUCUCUCACCGCGUGGAAGCUUCUCCACGCUGCUUCCUCCCUCAACGUUAUCCCUCCCUUCCUCCUCCUCGCCCUUCUCUCUUUCUCCUUCACUGCUCAUUCGUUCCACAAGGCCUCCUGAAGGUUGAUGCGGUGAUGGCCAAACCCUCAACACCUCCAUAGAACUCCUAACAUCGUGGUUCAUUCUGGUUCAUCGACUCUGUAAGCCAUGAUUUUAGGUUUUGACUUGAAGGUGUGUCUCUUGCGGCUCUGGAUCGUAGGUGGGUGUCUCUUGAAGGUGAUGGUUGCAGGUCAAAAAGCAAAGAGAGGAAACCAUUAUCCAACAAGCAAAGAAACAAGCUGCAACACUUGAUGCACAUAACAUCACUUCUGGCCAGCUUCUCAAUGUAUGUUAUUCUUAAAUUAUCACAUCUCUGGACUUCUUGUGUUUCUUUUCUAUAUGUAUACAUCAACGAUGAACAUUUUGAAUCUGUUUCCCAAGAGAAUGCAAUGUUGAUGAAGGUCCUAGCGACAAAAAUUAAUCUUUUUAUGUAAAUUUGGUCUAUUGUUUUGUAUUCUAUUUGCUUUCAAUGUGAUUAUGGUGGUAAUAGUUUUUGUUUUUUGGGUUUUGCCUCAACUUGUAUGGACAGUGUUGUAAUAGAAUCAUGUUAGGCAGAGCUACAAAAGUCUCAAACCAAUUUUCUGAGACUGCGGAAGGAAAAUUCAGAACUUGCACUGACAAACAUUCAAAUAAUGGCGAUAAUGACCUAAUGUCUUUUUUCUUUUAUGCUGUAUUGACUAUUGAGCUUAAUUCCAAUUGAUUUUCACACCACAUAUUCUUGAGCAUUUGGUCAAUUUGCAACUGGAGUCACUGAUGCUGCUGCUUUUAUAUUGGGAACAAGGAAGAUCUUACUCACGGCAAGUACAUACAUGUUGUCA